UAGUACUCACCUUGUGUGCAAUGUUGUGUUUCUUUUCGGAGAAACACCUACACCAACCUAUAACCUUGAACCACUUUGUCUGAAAAACUAUUAUGAAUACUUAAUUCAAAAUACAACUUUCAACAACGGAUCUCUUGGCUCUCGCAUCGAUGAAGAACGCAGCGAAAUGCGAUACGUAAUGUGAAUUGCAGAAUUCAGUGAAUCAUCGAAUCUUUGAACGCACAUUGCACUCUCUGGUAUUCCGGAGAGUAUGCUUGUUUGAGUAUCAGUAAACACCUCAAGUCUCUUCUCUAGAGAAGAGAAUUGGACUUGAGCAAUCCCAACUCUUUGCAAAAAGAGGCGGGUUGCUUGAAAUGCAGGUGCAGCUGGACAUUCUUCUGAGCUAAAAGCAUAUUUAUUUAGUCCCGUCAAACGGAUUAUUACUUUUGCUCUAGCUAAUAUAAAGGUCGAAUGCGCUAUAUGCUGACUGAUGCAGGAUUACCAAGUUUUACCUAGUAAAACUUGUAAACUCGAUCUCAAAUCAAGUAAGACUACCCGCUGAACUUAAGCAUAUCAAUAAGCGGAGGAAAAGAAACUAACAAGGAUUCCCCUAGUAACGGCGAGUGAAGCGGGAUGAGCUCAAAUUUAAAAUCUGGCUGGUUUACUAGUCCGAAUUGUAGUUUAAAGAAGCGUUUUCGGUGGCAGUCUCGGUAUAAAUCCUUUGGAAUAGGGUAUCAUAGAGGGUGAGAAUCCCGUCUUUGACUGAGAAUUUGCUACUAUGUGAUACGUUUUCAAAGAGUCGAGUUGUUUGGGAAUGCAGCUCAAAAUGGGUGGUAAAUUUCAUCUAAAGCUAAAUAUUGGCGAGAGACCGAUAGCGAACAAGUACCGUGAGGGAAAGAUGAAAAGAACUUUGAAAAGAGAGUUAAACAGUGCGUGAAAUUGUUGAAAGGGAAACGCUUGAAACCAGUCAUGUGGUUGGAAAAUCAGUGUUCAACUGGGGGGAAUGGGGGAGGUGUGGACCGCAAGGCUGCUCUUUUCUAUAUCUCUUUUGUUGGGCAUGCACUUUUUCUUCUGCAGGUCAACAUCAGUUUCUUUUGCUGGACAAAACUCUUGAGAAGGUAGCAGCUUAGGCUGUGUUAUAGCUCUGGAGCGAUACAGUGGAGGAGACUGAGGUUUUCGCAGCAUGUGCUCUCGGGCAAGGCCAAUUGGGUGCUAUGGGAUCGUUCGGGGUACAAUACAUGUAUUUUGCCUCGUGUCUUUUCUAUACUCGUUCAGUUGAGCUCUUCCAUGCUUAGGAUGUUGACUUAAUGGUUUUAAUCGACCCGUCUUGAAACACGGACCAAGGAGUCUAACAUAUAUGCAAGUGUUUGGGUGGCAAACCCAUGCGCGUAAUGAAAGUGAACGUAGGUGCCAUCCGCAAGGUGCAGCAUCGACCGAUCUUGAUAUUUUUGGAUAGAUUUGAGUAAGAGCAUAUAUGCUGGGACCCGAAAGAUGGUGAACUAUGCCUGAAUAGGGUGAAGCCAGAGGAAACUCUGGUGGAGGCUCGUAGCGAUUCUGACGUGCAAAUCGAUCGUCAAA
rnacentral:rRNA from 1 species